UACAGAGGGGGCAAGCGUUGUUCGGAUUCACUGGGCGUAAAGGGUGCGUAGGCGGUCGGGUAAGUCUGAUGUGAAAUCUCACAGCUUAACUGUGAAACUGCAUUGGAUACUAUCCGGCUCGAGGAAUGGAGGGGAGACUGGAAUACUUGGUGUAGCAGUGAAAUGCGUAGAUAUCAAGUGGAACACCAGUGGCGAAGGCGAGUCUCUGGACAGUACCUGACGCUGAGGCACGAAAGCCAGGGGAGCAAACGGG
rnacentral:rRNA from 1 species